GGAAGAUCAUUAUAAUAUUAAAAUACUUGCUAACACUUUGUUUAGUAUUAAAUUUUAUUCUUGACCGACUUUGGCAUUUCUUCGUCCAUUCACUUCAUAAUCACAACAGUACCCCGUCCAUUCACUUGAAAAAAAGUUGGUUGGGUUGUCCUGCAAUUGGUCAAGAAAUUGGUUGCAUGAAUCCUUCUAAAACCACUGGGUGAAUUCGUCAAUGACUAUUUUCCUCCUGGCAGAAGAUACUCUUCUAAGCAAGUGAUUCAUCAACAGAGAGUUUUAGGAAGAAAA